CAGGAUGAACGCUGGCGGUGUGCCUUAGGUAUGCAAGUCGAACGCCCCCUUCGGGGGGAGUGGCAGACGGGUGAGUAACACGUAGGAAUCUACCCAGGUAGUGUGGGAAUAGCCCAUCUAAAGGUGGGGUAAUACCGCAUACUCCUGCAAAGGGAAAGUCUUCGGACGCUAUUGGAGGAGCCUGCGCGCUAUCAGCUUGUUGGUGGGCUAACGGCCUACCAAGGGUAUGACGGUUAGCCGAUGUGAGAGCAUGAUCUGCCUCAAGGUCACUGAGACACGGGGUCGACACCCUACGGGUGGCAUCAACCGGGAAUAUUGCGCAAUGGGUGAAAGCCUGACUGAACGACCCCGCGUGAGGAAAGACGCUUUUCUCAGUGUCAACCACUGUGGCAGGUUAAGAAGAUUCUGACUGUACCCUGCUAGAAAGCACCUGCUAACUACGUGCCAGAAGCCUCGGUAAUACGUAGGGUGCAAGCGUAUUCCGGAUNUACUGGGCGUAAAGGGUCCGUCGGCGUCUUUGUAAGUCUUCUGUNUAAGCCUGGGGCUCAACUCCAGAAAGGCAGAAGAAACUACUUAGAUUGAGUAUGUCAGAGGAGUUUGGAAUUCUCGGUGGAGGGGUGAAAUCCGUAGAUAUCGAGAGGAACGCCAAUCGCGAAAGCAGAACUCUGGGACAUUACUGACGCUCAUGGACGAAAGCUAGGGUAGCAAAAGGGAUUAGAGACCCCUGUAGUCCUAGCCGUAAACGUUCCUUGCUAGAUGCUUGAUCUCUGAUUGGGUGUCGUAAGCUAACGCGUUAAGCAAGGCGCCUGGGGAGUACGACCGCAAGGUUAAAACUCAAAGGAAUUGACGGGGGAGCGCACAACCGGUGGAGCAUGCGGUUUAAUUCGAUACAAAGCGAAAGACCUUACCCAGACUUGACAUGUGCCUGCACGUCCCAAGAAAUUGGGAUUUCUUCGAGAGUGGCACACAGGUGAUGCAUGGCUGUCGUCAGCUCGUGUCGUGAGACGUCCUCUUAAGUGAGGUAACGAGCGCAACCCUUGCCGUCAGUUACAAGUGUCUGACGGGACUGCCUUCGCUUAUCGAGGGAGGAAGGAGAGGACGACGUCAAGUCAGCAUGUCCCUUACGUCUGGGGCUACACACAUCCUACAAUGGAGCCGACAACGGGUAGCGAUGGAGCAAUCCUGAGCUAAUCCUUUAAACGGCCCCUCAGUUCGGAUUGAGGGCUGCAAUUCGCCCUCAUGAAGCCGGAAUCGGUAGUAAUCGCAAAUCAGCAGGUUGCGGUGAAUACGUUCUCGCUCCUUGCA
rnacentral:rRNA from 1 species